rfam:Coprococcus comes CAG:19 genomic scaffold, scf180
GAAAACCUGGAAUGUUCGAGACUUCCGUAUUUUUGAACCUACAAUACUUUAAACGGGAUUCUUAUAUCUCUGUAAUAUGUCAGGCCCUCAUUGCGCAGGGGAAGGCAGAAAAGCAGAUGCGGUCGCCCACCUAGCGGAGUGCUAGGAGUCAAAAAACGGAAAACGGCAUUUCGGGGGACUA